rnacentral:rRNA from 1 species
GAUGAACGCUGGCGGCGUGCCUAAUACAUGCAGGUCGAGCGAACAGACGAGGAGCUUGCUCCUCUGACGUUAGCGGCGGACGGGUGAGUAACACGUGGAUAACCUACCUAUAAGACUGGGAUAACUUCGGGAAACCGGAGCUAAUACCGGAUAAUAUAUUGAACCGCAUGGUUCAAUAGUGAAAGACGGUUAUGCUGUCACUUAUAGAUGGAUCCGCGCCGCAUUAGCUAGUUGGUAAGGUAACGGCUUACCAAGGCGACGAUGCGUAGCCGACCUGAGAGGGUGAUCGGCCACACUGGAACUGAGACACGGUCCAGACUCCUACGGGAGGCAGCAGUAGGGAAUCUUCCGCAAUGGGCGAAAGCCUGACGGAGCAACGCCGCGUGAGUGAUGAAGGUCUUCGGAUCGUAAAACUCUGUUAUUAGGGAAGAACAAAUGUGUAAGUAACUAUGCACGUCUUGACGGUACCUAAUCAGAAAGCCACGGCUAACUACGUG